UACGUAGGGGGCUAGCGUUGUCCGGAAUCAUUGGGCGUAAAGCGCGUGUAGGCGGUCCGGUAAGUCCGCUCUGAAAGCCCGGGGCUCAACCCCGGGAAGCGGGCGGAUACUGUCGGGCUAGAGUCCGGAAGAGGCAAGUGGAAUUCCUGGUGUAGCGGUGAAAUGCGCAGAUAUCAGGAGGAACACCGAUGGCGAAGGCAGCUUGCUGGGACGGUACUGACGCUGAGGCGCGAAAGCGUGGGGAUCAAACAGG
rnacentral:rRNA from 1 species